rnacentral:rRNA from 1 species
AACGAACGCUGGCGGCGGGCCUCAUACAUGCAAGUCGAGCGCGUGUAGCAAUACACGAGCGGCGUACGGGUGAGUAACGGGUGGAUAACCUACCUCUGGGUGGGGGAUAACGGCUGGAAACGGCCGCUAAUACCGCAUACGGUUACCGGUCCUUGGACUGGUAAAGAAAGGGGCCUCAAAGCCUCGCCGGGAGAUGGGUCCGCCUUCGAUUAGCUAGUUGGUAGGGUAAUGGCCUACCAAGGCGAUGAUCGAUAGCCGAACUGAGAGGUUGAUCGGCCACACUGGAACUGAGACACGGUCCAGACACCUACGGGUGGCAG